rnacentral:rRNA from 1 species
UACAGAGGGUGCGAGCGUUAAUCGGAAUACUGGGCGUAAAGAGCGCGCAGGCGGUCUAUCAAGUCAGAUGUGAAAUAUCCCGGCUUAACCGGGAGGGGUCAUUUGAAACUGGUAGACUAGAGUACAGCAGAGGAUAGCGGAAUUCCCGGUGUAGUGGUGAAAUGCGUAGAUAUCGGGAGGAACACCAGUGGCGAAGGCGGCUUUCUGGCCUGUUCUUGACGCUGAGGCGCGAAAGCUAGGGGAGCAAACGGG